GAGAGAGAGACGGCGAGAAGGAUACGUUGAGAACGAGCUCGUGGAGGCGAAAUUCUGUUAAAACUAACUAAGCGAAGGCGGUCGUGAAAACAAUUUCAUUCGCAACAAGGAGCAACGGCCGGAUUCUGGAAGAGUCAAAGACAGGGAUCCAUCGAAGAUUUGACGGCAGAUUAAAGGGAAAAAUAGGAUUAUCGAAAAUCGUUUAAGGAUCCGACAAUCGAGGAAUCGCUACAAUGGCUGAAAGAACGCCGGCGGCUGACAGUGAAAAAGUGGAAGAAAUCGCGCAGGAUAAGACGCGAAAAAUCGACGCCAUUUUGUCGGCCGAGGCGCCGGUUGACACUGAAAGCGGAAGAGAAAGACGAGUCAGGAGGAACAUCAUCACUGUGCCGGAACAAAAUAACGUCGAGAUCGAGAAAGAUGGAAAGAAGUAUCGCCGUGAUGAAAACGGACGAUGGAGGCGCGUAUUGCGUAUUGAUUAAUGUUUCAUACGAUUCGACAAUAUGAGCGAUGUCAUCUGAAAACGAUGAAUAUUAUAAAAUGAAAAUCAACAAACAAAAGACGACAAGAGAUUGAUAGAGUAUUUAUCCAUUUUGCAUUAUUCAAGGAAGAAACUAUUUCAUUUUUAAUGCGAUUAUAUAUAUCUUUGUCUAUUAUUUAUUCUUUAUAUUAUAUUAUUGUCAUUAUAUAUAAUUACGCCGAAAUAAUUUGUAUUAUAAUAUGAAUCAAAAUUUAUUGUAAAAAAAUACGUUCUAUCUAUGUUUUUCUAUCGACAUCUUUUGUCGUUUAUUUUUAUAAAACAAAAAUCCAUGUACGUACGUCAAUAAAUUCCAGCAAUAAUUAAAAAAAAUCACAGAGUUGAGUGUUUGCACAAAUACGUCACUUUGCGUAUUGAAAUUUAAAUGGACGAAUGGAUUAUUAAAUUUAGAACUAUUUUUUCCCUAAUAGUUUAAUAAUAAUUUUUACCACAUGUAGAAAAAAAUCCACAACAAAUAUUGUUAAAUAAUACACAUUAGUUCCGUUUAUUAUCAGAUUUUGACAUAUAUCAAUAUAUCAUUAUAAAUAUAAUGAUAAUAAUGUUAACACGAAAAAGUAUUAACAGUCAAGCAUUUUUAUGUUAAAUUCAGUGAAAAUAUAUUUAUAUCUGAUUUUCAUCUUGACAUUCUAGAUACAAAGUUGUUUACAGUUACAUGUAUAGUGACCUAUUCUUCCUUGAUCAAUAAAAGAUUAUUAUUUUUUAAAAAUAUCUUCAACUAAGAUCGAUAUUAGUCAGUUAUGUAGCUAGAAGGUUGCUAUAACAAGUCGGAUGCAAGUCGUAGAGCAUGAUAUCUGGGCUGAAACUGUCUACUGUGUAUAUUAUUUCAAAGUGCAUUAUUUAUUAGAGUCAUAAACGCUCCACUUCUUUUCUGUUAAACUUUCAUAGACGUUUACAUGGCAGAGUAAUGGGACUUUCUAGCUACGAUGUUCAUUCAUGAUAUUGAUAGUCAGUGGACUUUGACCGUGAGCAGCACUUUAAUUUGCGUAAUUUCCAUUUUUAUUGUGAUAAUGCAAAGUGUAUCACGUUGGAAGUAACGUCUAGAAUAUAAAUAAGAAACAUGCGAGAUACAACAAAAGCUGCGAGAUACUACGUCAAAAUAAGUAAAGGAACGAGAGAAGGCUAGGUGCGAGAAGGCGUUGAAGAUUUAAAUUACGACGGUUUAGAAGAGAGAUUCGAGAAAGAAAAAAAGUACGAAAUCAGAAGCAUAGACGUUUUCUGCUUCGUUUCUGCUUUUUGCAUUCCAAAUUAUUGCGUUCUAAAUUAUCAUUUCAUUUAGAAACGAAAAUUCUUCGUCGACAUUUUGCUAAUGCUCGUGACGAUAAUGUCGUUAACCUUGAUACCACUGACAGUCUGCCAGGAGAAUAAGGAUGUAAUGUAAAUACACUAUCCGGACCAUAAUGCCAGGAUUGUAUAUGUGCAAGAACAACCACAAAAACCAUGUUCAGAGGAAGGUCAGAGACAGGAUUCCGGAGGAAGAUGUCGCAAGAAGAUCCGUAUAAUGAGAAACACAGGUAUGAAGAUAUCAACGUUUGCGAUGUCAGCAGAAAGCUAAAAGCAAGAUCCAAAAUAUCGAAGCAACGAUGAGAAGAGAGAGAGAGAGAGCGAGAAUAUUCCAUGUGUUUGCAAUAAAUUCGCAUUAUACGGUUAAUUAAAAUUGCGUUACGCGUUAUAAAUUAUAUGUGAAUUAAUUAAAAAAUUUGACAACAAUGUGAGAAUCGCGAAAGUUCUAUAAUACCCUGCAUUUUACAAUUCAGAAUAUAUUUUAUAUUACUAUAUCACAGUAAAAAAUUAAAUUAUAUCCAUUACUGAAUUAUUCUCGUGAUGCGUAAUUGUAAUUAAUUCGUGAAGAGAUGCAAUUGCUGAAGCAGGAAUGCAGUUAAACACACGAAUAGAAUGAGUCUGUAUCAUUAGUCUCUCUCAUUAUUCUCUACAUAAGACUUUUGACAUAAUUUAAUUAAAUUUCCAUUUUAUUAUUCAAGAUCGCCUUUAACUAAUUUUAGAAAAAUGCAAUCAUCGCGACUAGGCAACAUUUCUUAAAAUAUCGUAUCACAAGAAAUAUUACGUGCUUAUGUUUGUGUACUGCAACUUUACGUUAAUUCGUUAAUUUAUACGUCAGAUCAUUGUGAGCUUCGUUUUGCGACUAUGUAAACUGAUAUAUUUAACAUAUAUCAUGAUUGGAAGAUCAGAGAGUAACAUGGCUGAAAUAACAAUAUUCCGAUUUUUGCAACAUAAUGAAAAUAUCUCUUAAUGUUUUCCUGAUAAUGAUCCUGAUGCUGAUGAUCGUCAUGGUGAUAUCACAAAAUUAUGAGGACAUACGUACAAUUAUUACAGCUCCUCCAAGAAAUCACAACGCGCAAAUGUCUAAUCAAUCUAAGAUCAAAAUUGUCGCAGGGAGACCUCGACUAGUGAUGUCGGGAUAGAAGGAAAUAGGUUCAAGAAUGUUGAGAGCUUUUAUAAUUUACAACUUAUUGAAUAAUUCAACAAAGAUAAAUUAUUUUGAAGAGGAUGAUG
rnacentral:lncRNA from 1 species